GACGAACGCUGGCGGCGUGCUUAACACAUGCAAGUCGAACGAUGAAGCCGGAGCUUGCUCUGGUGAAUUAGUGGCGAACGGGUGAGUAACACGUGAGUAACCUGCCCUUGACUCUGGGAUAACUGCGGGAAACUGUAGCUAAUACCGGAUACGACCCUCGGAGGCAUCUCCUGGGGGUGGAAAGAAUUUCGGUCAAGGAUGGACUCGCGACCUAUCAGCUAGUUGGUGAGGUAAAGGCUCACCAAGGCGACGACGGGUAGCCGGCCUGAGAGGGUGACCGGCCACACUGGGACUGAGACACGGCCCAGACUCCUACGGGAGGCAGCAGUGGGGAAUAUUGCACAAGGGGCGCAAGCCUGAUGCAGCAACGCCGCGUGAGGGAUGACGGCCUUCGGGUUGUAAACCUCUUUUAGCAGGGAAGAAGCGAAAGUGACGGUACCUGCAGAAAAAGCACCGGCUAACUACGUGCCAGCCGCCGCAGUAA
rnacentral:rRNA from 1 species